AUGUGGAUGCGUUCGGACGGCGAGCGACCACUGUAAGCCAGCUCCAUCUUUGUUGGAGUUCGAAUCGCACAGAGAUUUGGCUUGAGAAUGACUUCGCUCGGCGUUGUUCGCGCGUGUUAUCAGCACGCCUUUGGUGCGAGUGUGUGGCUAUUUUGUGGCCCCGCAAUAGAUCCCAAAAGGUAUGGAAUGAUAUGAAAAGCAGGGUGAGAAUAUACGCCACAUCGACGGCGGCAACGACUGCGGCAUAGGCCCUUCCAACCUUCCUAAAGGACACCAACUCUAGCGCAAACGAGCUGAUGAGCGUUG